CCCUAGCCCUGAUAGCAGUGGAAAUCCUUUUAUUUUUUUCUUUAAAAAAUAAAAGAUUGCAACGGAUAGCAGGAAAUAGC
rnacentral:sRNA from 1 species